rnacentral:rRNA from 1 species
UGAGGAAUAUUGGUCAAUGGACGCAAGUCUGAACCAGCCAAGUAGCGUGCAGGAUGACGGCCCUAUGGGUUGUAAACUGCUUUUAUAUGGGGAUAAAGUGGGGAACGUGUUCCCUUUUGCAGGUACCAUAUGAAUAAGGACCGGCUAAUUCCGUGCCAGCAGCCGCGGUAAUACGGAAGGUUCGGGCGUUAUCCGGAUUUAUUGGGUUUAAAGGGAGCGUAGGCCGUUUGGUAAGCGUGUUGUGAAAUGUAGGAGCUCAACUUCUAGAUUGCAGCGCGAACUGUCAGACUUGAGUGCGCACAACGUAGGCGGAAUUCAUGGUGUAGCGGUGAAAUGCUUAGAUAUCACACAGAACUCCGAUUGCGAAGGCAGCUUACCAGGCUUUAUCUGACACUUAGGCACGACAGCGUGGGGAUCAAACAGG